rnacentral:rRNA from 1 species
UACGAAGGGGGCUAGCGUUGCUCGGAAUCACUGGGCGUAAAGGGCGCGUAGGCGGCCGAUUAAGUCGGGGGUGAAAGCCUGUGGCUCAACCACAGAAUUGCCUUCGAUACUGUUUGGCUUGAGUCUGGUAGAGGUUGGUGGAACUGCGAGUGUAGAGGUGAAAUUCGUAGAUAUUCGCAAGAACACCAGUGGCGAAGGCGGCUUACUGGUCCGGUUCUGACGCUGAGGCGCGAAAAGCGUGGGGGAGCAAACAGG